AAACACACACACACCACCCUGAACGUGUCUAGUCUCAUCUGGUCUCAGACGCUAAGCAGGGUUGGGUCAGUACUUGAAUGGGAGACUGCUUGGGUAUAUUUGGUGCUGU
rnacentral:rRNA from 1 species